CACGCAUCGACCUGGUAUUGCAGUACUUC
rnacentral:piRNA from 2 species